ACCCGCUGAACUUAAGCAUAUCAAUAAGCGGAGGAAAAGAAACCAACAGGGAUUGCUCUAGUAACGGCGAGUGAAGCAGCAAUAGCUCAAAUUUGAAAUCUGGCGUCUUCGACGUCCGAGUUGUAAUUUGUAGAGGAUGCUUCUGAGUGGCCACCGACCUAAGUUCCUUGGAACAGGACGUCAUAGAGGGUGAGAAUCCCGUAUGCGGUCGGAAAGGCGCUCUAUACGUAGCUCCUUCGACGAGUCGAGUUGUUUGGGAAUGCAGCUCUAAAUGGGUGGUAAAUUUCUUCUAAAGCUAAAUAUUGGCCAGAGACCGAUAGCGCACAAGUAGAGUGAUCGAAAGAUGAAAAGCACUUUGGAAAGAGAGUUAAAAAGCACGUGAAAUUGUUAAAAGGGAAGGGAUUGCAACCAGACUUGCUCGCGGUGUUCCGCCGGUCUUCUGACCGGUCUACUCGCCGCGUUGCAGGCCAGCAUCGUCUGGUGCCGCUGGAUAAGACUUGAGGAAUGUAGCUCCCUCGGGAGUGUUAUAGCCUCUUGUGAUGCAGCGAGCGCCGGGCGAGGUCCGCGCUUCGGCUAGGAUGCUGGCGUAAUGGUCGUAAUCCGCCCGUCUUGAAACACGGACCAAGGAGUCUAACAUCUAUGCGAGUGUUCGGGUGUCAAACCCCUACGCGUAAUGAAAGUGAACGGAGGUGAGAACCGCAAGGUGCAUCAUCGACCGAUCCUGAUGUCUUCGGAUGGAUUUGAGUAAGAGCAUAGCUGUUGGGACCCGAAAGAUGGUGAACUAUGCCUGAAUAGGGUGAAGCCAGAGGAAACUCUGGUGGAGGCUCGCAGCGGUUCUGACGUGCAAAUCGAUCGUCAAAUUUGGGUAUAGGGGCGAAAGACUAAUCGAACCAUCUAGUAGCUGGUUCCUGCCGAAGUUUCCCU
rnacentral:rRNA from 1 species